GUGUCAGCCGCCGCGGUAAUACAGAGACUGCAAGCGUUAUUCGGAUUCACUGGGCGUAAAGGGUGCGCAGGCGGCCAAGUGUGUGAGGCGUGAAAGCCCGAUGCUCAACAUCGGAAUUGCACCUCAAACUACAUGGCUAGAGCAUUGGAGAGGGUAGCGGAAUUCACGGUGUAGCAGUGAAAUGCGUAGAUAUCGUGAGGAACACCAGAGGCGAAGGCGGCUACCUGGACAAUUGCUGACGCUCAGGCACGAAAGCGUGGGGAGCAAAAGGGAUUAGAAACCCUAGUAGUCC
rnacentral:rRNA from 1 species